rnacentral:rRNA from 1 species
AUUGAACGCUGGCGGCAGGCCUAACACAUGCAAGUCGAACGAGUGGCGGACGGGUGAGUAAUGUCUGGGAAACUGUCUGAUGGAGGGGGAUAACUACUGGAAACGGUAGCUAAUACCGCAUACCAUCAGAUGUGCCCAGAUGGGAUUAGCUAGUUGGUGGGGUAACGGCUCAUCAAGACGACGAUCCCAAGCUGGUCUGCGAGGAUGACAGUCCACACUGGAACUGAAACACGGUCCGGACUCCUACGGGAGGCAGCCUUGGGGAAUAUUGCACAAGGGGCGCAGGCCUGAUAAAGCCAUACCAGGUGUAUGAAGAAGGCCUUCGGGUUGUAAAGUACUUUCAGCGGGGGGGCGUUACCCGCAGAGGAAGCACCGGCUAACUCCGUGCCAGCAGCCGCGGUAAUUC